rnacentral:rRNA from 1 species
AUACGUAGGGAGCGAGCGUUGUCCGGAAUUACUGGGUGUAAAGGGUGCGUAGGCGGGACUGCAAGUCAGAUGUGAAAUGCCGGGGCUCGACCCCGGAGCUGCAUUUGAAACUGUGGUUCUUGAGUGAGGUAGAGGUAAGCGGAAUUCCUAGUGUAGCGGUGAAAUGCGUAGAUAUUGGGAGGAACACCAGUGGCGAAGGCGACUUACUGGACUGUAACUGACGCUGAGGCGCGAAAGUGUGGGGAGCAAACAGGAUUAGAUACCCUGGUAGUCCACACUGUAAACGAUGAAUGCUAGGUGUAGGGGGUAUCGACCCCUUCUGUGCCGCAGUCAACACAAUAAGCAUUCCGCCUGGGGAGUACGGCCGCAAGGUUGAAACUCAAAGGAAUUGACGGGG